rnacentral:rRNA from 1 species
AUCUGCCCUUCACUCUGGGACAAGCCCUGKMAACGGGGUCUAAKACCGGAUAACACUCCUGCCUGCAUGGGCGGGGGUUAAAAGCUCCGGCGGUGAAGGAUGAGCCCGCGGCCUAUCAGCUUGUUGGUGAGGUAACGGCUCACCAAGGCGACGACGGGUAGCCGGCCUGAGAGGGCGACCGGCCACACUGGGACUGAGACACGGCCCAGACUCCUACGGGAGGCAKCAGUGGGGAAUAUUGCACAAUGGGCGAAAGCCUGAUGCAGCGACGCCGCGUGAGGGAUGACKGCCUUCGGGUUGUAAACCUCUUUCAGCAGGGAAGAAGCGAAAGUGACGGUACCUGCAGAAGAAGCGCCGGCUAACUACGUGCCAGCAGCCGCGGUAAUACGUAGGGCGCAAGCGUUGUCCGGAAUUAUUGGGCGUAAAGAGCUCGUAGGCGGCUUGUCACGUCKGUUGUGAAAGCCCGGGGCUUAACCCCGGGUCUGCAGUCGAUACGGGCAGGCUAGAGUUCGGUAGGGGAGAUCGGAAUUCCUGGUGUAGCGGUGAAAUGCGCAGAUAUCAGGAGGAACACCGGUGGCGAACGCGGAUCUCUGGGCCKAUACUGACGCUGAGGAGCGAAAGCGUGGGGAGCKRAACAGGAUUAGAUWCYCUGGUAGUCCACGCCGUAAACGGGUGRGCACUAGUGUGGGCAACAUU